rnacentral:lncRNA from 1 species
UAUCAUUAAGAUUGGUGAACACAAAAGAAGAGCAAACUCGUAACGACUCCUAAUAAUGUCAACACGUGGUAAUGCUCUCAUCACAAUUUUUUAGUUUUUAUAAAAAUUUAGAAAUUAAUAAAUUAGUCACGUACCUCUCGUUAAUACGAAGAUUAUGAUCUAAGAAUUGAAGCAAUAGAAAAUAAAUUGGAAAAACGACAGAAAAGAAAGAGACAACACGAAAAACUAUUUAGUAGCUAACUUUUAAUUAGGGUUUUAGUUGUAAUCUAAAAUAGAAAUUAACAAAUAUUAUUCUAAUUAAUUAUUCCCAUAAGUAUUAUUUUAGCUAAGAAAACCUUACAAACCUUAAUUAUUUGUAAAAAGUAAAAAAAAAACUAAAAUAUGUCCCAUUGACAACAAAAACAUAUGCUCUUGUAAAAUUUUCUGCCCUAAGCCACGGCUUCACCCGC